rnacentral:tRNA from 1 species
AGAAAAUUAGUUAAAAAAUAAUAUUAAUUUGUCAAAUUAAAGUUACCUUAGUAUUUUCUA